rnacentral:rRNA from 1 species
ACGGGUGAGUAAUACGUGAGUAACCUGCCCUUGACUCUGGGAUAAGCCCGGGAAACUGGGUCUAAUACUGGAUGCUACAUGUCACCGCAUGGUGGUGUGUGGAAAGGGUUUACUGGUCUUGGAUGGGCUCACGGCCUAUCAGCUUGUUGGUGAGGUAAUGGCUCACCAAGGCGACGACGGGUAGCCGGCCUGAGAGGGUGACCGGCCACACUGGGACUGAGACACGGCCCAGACUCCUACGGGAGGCAGCAGUGGGGAAUAUUGCACAAUGGGCGAAAGCCUGAUGCAGCGACGCCGCGUGAGGGAUGACGGCCUUCGGGUUGUAAACCUCUUUCAGCAGGGAAGAAGCCACAAGUGACGGUACCUGCAGAAGAAGCGCCGGCUAACUACGUGCCAGCAGCCGCGGUAAUACGUAGGGCGCAAGCGUUGUCCGGAAUUAUUGGGCGUAAAGAGCUCGUAGGCGGUUUGUCGCGUCUGCUGUGAAAGCCCGGGGCUUAACCCCGGGUGUGCAGUGGGUACGGGCAGACUAGAGUGCAGUAGGGGAGACUGGAAUUCCUGGUGUAGCGGUGGAAUGCGCAGAUAUCAGGAGGAACACCGAUGGCGAAGGCAGGUCUCUGGGCUGUUACUGACGCUGAGGAGCGAAAGCAUGGGGAGCGAACAGGAUUAGAUACCCUGGUAGUCCAUGCCGUAAA